ensembl:snRNA LOC120098727 U1 spliceosomal RNA
AUAUUGCCUGGCAGGAGAGAGAUGGUUGUCAUGCAACUGAUUUUCCUAGAGUGAGGCUUAGCCAUUGCUUUCCAGACAUGCUAACCCUGUGUUUUCCCCGGCUGUGAGAAACUCAGCUACAUAUUUUGUGCUAGCAGGGAAACAGCAGUCAUCCUCCUAU